GAAAUUUCUGCAUGUCUGCCCAAUGUAUACUGAAUCACAGUAUUUGCAGAAAUGAAAUGGAGCAAAGAGGCAUUAAGCAACUUAAAUCUGGCACACAGCAAGGAAAAGUGUAUGUAUGACCCGCUGUAUCAGAAUAAGCAUGCCUUAAAGAGAAAUUGGUAGUGACAGGGGAGAAUGUCUGUUCAGUUUAGUCCAGAGCGACAGACGAGAACUGCAAAACUCUGAGUAGCACAUAUACAUAGUACAAACUUGGAAAAAUUACAUAAGUGCACCUUUAAGUACUGGUCCUUUAAAGUGAUGCCCUAAUCGGAAGAUUUACUGUCGCUGCCAUGGCAAUAGCUCCAAAAACAAAUGGGUCCUCCUAGUGCAAAGUGCUGUAUAAGUACAGGUACCUGUUUAACCAAGAGUCAUGAUAUA